rnacentral:rRNA from 1 species
GAGUUUGAUUCUGGCUCAGAACGAACGCUGGCGGCGCGUCUUAAGCAUGCAAGUCGAACGGUAAGGGAGAGCUUGCUCUCCCCUAGAGUGGCGGACUGGUGAGUAACGCGUGGGUGACCUGCCCUGAAGAUGGGGAUAGCUAGUAGAAAUAUUAGAUAAUACCGAAUGUGCUCAUUUACAUAAAGGUAAAUGAGGAAAGGAGCUACGGCUCCGCUUCAGGAUGGGCCCGCGUCCCAUUAGCUGGUUGGUGAGGUAAAGGCCCACCAAGGCAACGAUGGGUAUCCGGCCUGAGAGGGUGAACGGACACAUUGGGACUGAGAUACGGCCCAAACUCCUACGGGAGGCAGCAGCUAAGAAUCUUCCGCAAUGGACGAAAGUCUGACGGAGCGACGCCGUGUGAAUGAAGAAGGCUGAAAGGUUGUAAAAUUCUUUUGCAGAUGAAGAAUAAACACAGGAGGGAAUGCCCUGUGAGAUGGCGG